rnacentral:snoRNA from 1 species
UUUCAUGAUGACUUUCUAUCCUAUUUUGUUCUAUCGCUGAAUCACUGUGAUGAAUAAACUUUUGUUUCACCUUGGAGAACUGAAAU